AUGAGUGAGGUGGUCUUCGCCAAAAUUAAACUUUUCUGUUUUGUUUUUUUUUUCCAAAUGAAAUAUGAAAAAUCAAGAUGAACAGUUUCCAGUGGUGCAUAUUUGUAAGUAUUCCUGUGAAACAUUUAAUUCUGUCACCAUUCAUGGAAAACUGUUCUACUGAAAAUAGGUUUUGUAAUCUGAAAUUGCACACUCCUGAAACCUCCACCUCUGGGGAGCCUCAUGAUUCACACUUUGUUCUGUAGGUCAGUAGCUCCUGCUCCUUGUGUGGAAGAGGACACUGAGGCCAGAGAGACGGCAUGAGGGGACUGAGACCUUACAGUGGUCUCCAGGAUAGCAUUACACAUGCUGAAGCUGAGCAGGGGCAGACCUCAGCAGGUAGACAGAGGAGUCCCACCGAGUUCUUCAGCCCCUCCCCAGCCCAUGCAGGGCCCUGGGCAGGACAUGCUGCUUCUCUCACUGCAACUCUACACGUCCAGAUGAGUCUUGGUCUUCAGCUGCUGAAAGAGAAAACACCUUUGCUGGCUGCAGAGCAAGGAUCUCCAAAGAAGUCUGGGCUGUGGCUGGCAAGCCUGAAUUUAAUGCCAGCCAGCAAGCCUGGAGAAUGGAGUGUUUAUCAUCUUGAGUGUCCACAGCGGAGGAAAGGGCACCCACUUGGCUGGAAAAGCAUGUGCAUGAGAAGAUCCAUCCUGUGCCACAAGACAGAUGACUGCUUACUGCUGGGGGCUUCAGAGACCUGGAGAGCCAUUCCCGUCUUGCCUUUAAACAGCCUCUGCUGAUACCCUUCUCCCAGGGAGAACACAGAAUUCCCCAAUAAAAUGCCAAGCUGAACCAUGGGGGGUACACUCUGCAGCUUCCAAGCCCAGCUCUACCUUAGCUCACACCUGCAAGAAGGCACUGCACAUGCAAACUUAAUUGAGCACUAGUCAUUGUAGAGUUUGUCUUUGGUGAGGACAGUGUGUGUUUGUCAGCAGUUAGCAUAGGGUGGACUCUGAUGGAGAAAGUGGAAUUUUUCCUGCCAGAACCUGUUGUUGUUGAAGCGUUAUUGUGGAAGUCUUCAGGUAGGCAUUUGUUGAUGUUGGAGUGUUACUGUGGGAGGAGUGGAUUACUUUGUGAAGGCUUGUCUGUGAGAUGGUAUAGAGAGAGUAGGGGAGCAGUUUAGUGGAAAAGGAUGAAAUCUGGAUGGUUUGAAGGUAGAUUCUGGAAGGUCCUUGGUGGUACAGGUACAGAUUAGGCAUAGGGUAGAGGCUGAAGCUGACUUUGCCUGUGCAGUGCAAUUAGAUUGGUGUGAAGAGCUAAUGAGAAGCGGGCUUUUGCAGGUGACCCUGAAACUUGGGACCAGGUUGGCUGUUAAAACAUGUUCCUGCUGCCUGGCUGGGCUGAGGAAUGCAGUGCACAUUUGUAGUAUUACCAAACCUCACUGGAGUGACACACAGCAAGUUGAACCUCUGCACAUUGCAGAAAAAUGUACCAAGUUGCUUAGCAAUACGUUAUACACAGAUAUUUUCCAUCCUGGAUGACUGGGAUAAAUA